rnacentral:snoRNA from 1 species
AGGUCCAUCAACAACUAAACAUUUUAAAAAAGAGAGAAAAGAUAUUUCUAAUGCACUAAAUUAACAUUUGGAGGUAAACUGGCAGCAUGACUAACUUGGCCAAGCUGUCGGUCACCUUCAGACAAGU